AACGAACGCUGGCGGCAUGCCUAACACAUGCAAGUCGAACGAGAUCUUCGGGUCUAGUGGUCGUGCCCACCUAACGCGUGGGAAUCUGCCCUUUGGUUCGGAAUAACAGUUGGAAACGAUUGCUAAUACCGGAUGAUGAGCUUUUCAGGUUUCUAAAUAGGCCAGAGGAUGAGCCCGCGUCGGAUUGCUUCACCACACGCGGGAGGCGCACCAAGGCGACGAUCCUUAGCUGGUCUGAGGGGAUGAUCACCCACUGGGACUGAGACACGGCCCAGACUCCUACGGGAGGCAGCAGUGCGGAAUAUUGGCAUGGGCGAAACGCAAAUCCAGCAAUGCCGCGUGAGUCUACUUCCGGGUAGGGUUGUUUCGAGAAAUACCCGGGAUGAUAAUGACAGUACCGGGAGAAUAAGCUCCUGCUAACUCCGUGCCAGCAGCCGCGGUAAUACGGAGGCUCCUAGCGUUGUUCGGAAUUACGCGUAAACGCCACGUAGGCGCCGCCUUAAGUUAGAGGUGAAAGCCUGGAGCUCAACUAGAACUGCCUUUAAGUGACAUCGCUUGAAAGGUGGAGAGGUGAGUGGUUAAGCGAGUAGAGGUGAUUUUCGUAGAAUUCCCAAGAACACCAGUGGCGAAGGCGGCUCACUGGACUAUUGACGCUGAGGUGCGUUUCCGUGGCCAGCAAACACCAUUAGAUAGGGUGGUAGUUCACGCCGUUUGGAAAUACUAGCUGUCGCGGGACUUGCACUUUGGGUCCGGCAGCUAGCGCAUUAAGUUAUCCGCCUGGGGAGUACCCGCGCAAGGUAUUAACUCAAUACAAUUGACUCCGGCCUGCCAAAGCGGUGCUGCAUGUGAAAAAUUCGAGCGAACGCGCAGAACCUUACUAGCGUUUGAGUAGUCCGGAGCUUUUCCAGUCUUGGAUCUCUUCCCUUCGCCCACUGGAAUACAGGUGCUCGAUGGCUGUGUCAGCUCGUGUCGUGAGAGUUUGGGUUAUCUCCCGCAAAGAGCGCAACGGUCGCCUUUAGUUACCAUCUAUUAGUUGGCCACUCUAAACCAACCGCCGAUGAUAAGCCGGAGGAAGGUCCGGAUGACGCUAAGUCCUCUAGGCCCUUACGCGCUGGGCGACACACGUGUCACAAUGGCCCUGACAGUGCCCAGCAAACCUGCGAGAGUGCGCUAAUCUCAAAAGCCGUCUCAGUUCGAGUUGUUCUCGUCAACUCGAGAGCAUGAAGGCGGAAUCGCUAGUAAUCGCGGAUCAGCAUGCCGCGGUGAAUACGUUCCCAGGUCACACCAUGGGAGUUGGGACACCCGAAGGCGUUGCGCUAACUCGCAAGAGAGGCAGGCGACCACGGUGGGCUUAGCGACUGGGGUGAAGUCGUAACAAGGUAGCCGUAGGGGAACCGC
rnacentral:rRNA from 1 species